AGUGAACGCUGGCGGUAGGCCUAACACAUGCAAGUCGAACGGCAGCACAGUAAGAGCUUGCUCUUACGGGUGGCGAGUGGCGGACGGGUGAGGAAUACAUCGGAAUCUACUUUUUCGUGGGGGAUAACGUAGGGAAACUUACGCUAAUACCGCAUACGACCUACGGGUGAAAGCAGGGGAUCUUCGGACCUUGCGGGGUGGGAUGAGCCGGCGGCGGAUUAGCUAGUUGGCGGGGUAAAGGCCCACGAAGGCGACGACCCGUAGCCGGUCUGAGAGGAGGAACGGGCACAUGGGGCCUGAGGGACGGCCCAGAGGCGUAUGGGAGGCAGAAGGGGGGAGUCUUGCACAAUGGGAGGAAGUGUGAUGAAGCGACGCUGCGUGGGGGAUGACGGUCUUCGGGUAGAAAACACCUUUCGCUAGGGACGAAGCGGUAGUGACGGUACCUGGAGAAGAAGCACCGGCUAACUACGUG
rnacentral:rRNA from 1 species